GCUAUGGUAUACACCUUCACUCCACCAUUCAUUUUGUUACACAUGAACUCUUCCAUCUUGGAGAGAUGGCUGAGCGGACCAAAGCGGCGGAUUGCUAAUCCGUAGUACGGAUUAUCCGUACCGAGGGUUCGAAUCCCUCUCUCUCCGU
rnacentral:tRNA from 1 species